GAUGAACGCUAGCUACAGGCUUAACACAUGCAAGUCGAGGGGCAUCAGGAAGAAAGCUUGCUUUCUUUGCCGGCGACCGGCGCACGGGUGAGUAACACGUAUCCAACCUGCCCUUUACUCGGGGAUAGCCUUUCGAAAGAAAGAUUAAUACCCGAUGGCAUAAUGAUUCCGCAUGGUCUCAUUAUUAAAGGAUUCCGGUAAAGGAUGGGGAUGCGUUCCAUUAGGUUGUUGGUGAGGUAACGGCCCACCAAGCCUUCGAUGGAUAGGGGUUCUGAGAGGAAGGUCCCCCACAUUGGAACUGAGACACGGUCCAAACUCCUACGGGAGGCAGCAGUGAGGAAUAUUGGUCAAUGGGCGCUAGCCUGAACCAGCCAAGUAGCGUGAAGGAUGAAGGCUCUAUGGGUCGUAAACUUCUUUUAUAUAAGAAUAAAGUGCAGUAUGUAUACUGUUUUGUAUGUAUUAUAUGAAUAAGGAUCGGCUAACUCCGUGCCAGCAGCCGCGGUAAUACGGAGGAUCCGAGCGUUAUCCGGAUUUAUUGGGUUAAAGGGAGCGUAGGUGGACUGGUAAGUCAGUUGUGAAAGUUUGCGGCUCAACCGUAAAAUUGCAGUUGAUACUGUCAGUCUUGAGUACAGUAGAGGUGGGCGGAAUUCGUGGUGUAGCGGUGAAAUGCUUAGAUAUCACGAAGAACUCCGAUUGCGAAGGCAGCUCACUGGACUGCAACUGACACUGAUGCUCGAAAGUGUGGGUAUCAAACAGGAUUAGAUACCCUGGUAGUCCACACAGUAAACGAUGAAUACUCGCUGUUUGCGAUAUACAGUAAGCGGCCAAGCGAAAGCAUUAAGUAUUCCACCUGGGGAGUACGCCGGCAACGGUGAAACUCAAAGGAAUUGACGGGGGCCCGCACAAGCGGAGGAACAUGUGGUUUAAUUCGAUGAUACGCGAGGAACCUUACCCGGGCUUAAAUUGCAGUGGAAUGAUGUGGAAACAUGUCAGUGAGCAAUCACCGCUGUGAAGGUGCUGCAUGGUUGUCGUCAGCUCGUGCCGUGAGGUGUCGGCUUAAGUGCCAUAACGAGCGCAACCCUUAUCUUUAGUUACUAACAGGUUAUGCUGAGGACUCUAGAGAGACUGCCGUCGUAAGAUGUGAGGAAGGUGGGGAUGACGUCAAAUCAGCACGGCCCUUACGUCCGGGGCUACACACGUGUUACAAUGGGGGGUACAGAAGGCAGCUAGCGGGUGACCGUAUGCUAAUCCCAAAAGCCUCUCUCAGUUCGGAUCGAAGUCUGCAACCCGACUUCGUGAAGCUGGAUUCGCUAGUAAUCGCGCAUCAGCCACGGCGCGGUGAAUACGUUCCCGGGCCU
rnacentral:rRNA from 1 species